CCGGCUUGUCUCAUGACUGCUUGAAAAUGGUGAACCACGAAAAUAUCGCAAUUCCUUUAGCUGUUGUGUCUGGAUUUUGGUUUUUAGUAGGAGUUGUAGCACCAUGGUUUGUACCAAAGGGAGAAAAUAGGGGAGUUAUCAGAUUGAUGCUUGUCCUCACAGCCUUUUGUUGCUGGUUUUUCUGGUUUAUCACAUGGGCAUUUCAACUCAAUCCAUUGUUGGGACCCCUGAUUAAAGGAGAUGAAGCUUAUCAUAUUUCACAAAGGUGGAA